UUUACCAAUCUCUGCCUCAUAAUCCACAGCUUUGCAAUUUUGAGCUGCAGCCCCAAGUGUUGCUCCUACACCAGCAUCAGGUUACCUGGCACAGCAUCCGAGACACCUGAGAAAGCCUAUAAGCACGCAUCAUUGAAACCGGCCCUCAAAAUCUCAGAAAUUGGAACUAAAUUCUACAUUUGAUGGAAGCAGUAUCGGACUGAAAAAAAAUCCCUCACCAUAUGCUGAAACAACAAUCCCUCACCAAGCCCAGCAGCAAGGGAUUCCUUGACAAAAUCCGGAGAUGAAGAGGGAGUGUCCUUGAUAAUUGCUUUCCUAUAGGCCAAAGAGCUCGUGAGGCAGUGGCAAAUAGGGAUCAAAGCUUUGUUGAGUUGGAGAUGAGCUAAUUUGCCUCUCACAGUCCUGAGUUAAUCCCGAGAGGAGCUUGGAUUGUGUGCCCAACUACCAUUCUGCUUGCCCUUGUUACUUACCACACACAGGCUCUCACGGGGAUACUUACACAACCGUGUCUGAGCAGAGCAGCCAUGGAACCCUAGGAGUGCAUGGCAUAACACCUGUCACCACG
rnacentral:lncRNA from 1 species